rnacentral:rRNA from 1 species
AACGAACGCUGGCGGCAUGCCUAACACAUGCAAGUCGAACGAGACCUUCGGGUCUAGUUGCGCACGGGUGCGUAACGCGUGGGAACCUGCCCUUAGGUUCGGAAUAACUCCCCGAAAGGGGUGCUAAUACCGGAUAAUGUCUUCUGACCAAAGAUUUAUCGCCCUUGGAUGCGCCCGAGUUGGAUUAGCUAGUUGGUAGUGUAAAAGCCUACCAAGGCGACGAUCCAUAGCUGGUCUGAGAGGAUGAUCCGCCACACUGGGACUGGGACACGGCCCGGACUCCUACGGGAGGCAGCAGUGGGGAAUAUUGGACAAUGGGCGAAAGCCUGAUCCAGCAAUGCCGCGUGAGUGAUGAAGGCCUUAGGGUUGUAAAGCUCUUUUACCCGCGAUGAUAAUGACAGUACCGGGAGAAUAAGCUCCGGCUAACUCCGUG